GCCUACCAUGGUGGUAACGGGUAACGGGGAAUUAGGGUUCGAUUCCGGAGAGGGAGCCUGAGAAACGGCUACCACAUCCAAGGAAGGCAGCAGGCGCGCAAAUUACCCAAUCCCGACACGGGGAGGUAGUGACAAUAAAUAACAAUACGGGGCUCAUUUGGGUCUCGUAAUUGGAAUGAGUACAAUUUAAAUCCCUUAACGAGGAACAAUUGGAGGGCAAGUCUGGUGCCAGCAGCCGCGGUAAUUCCAGCUCCAAUAGCGUAUAUUAAAGUUGUUGCAGUUAAAAAGCUCGUAGUUGAACUUCGGGGUUCACCCAUUGGUCAGGCUUAAUUGUCUGCACUGGUGAGAUGAGCCUCUACCUUCUGAGGAACUUUCAUGCCAUUUAUUUGGUGUGGUUGGAAAUCAGGACUGUUACUUUGAAAAAAUUAGAGUGUUUAAAGCAGGCUAACGUCUGAAUACAUUAGCAUGGAAUAAUGAAAUAGGACGGACUGAUUCUAUUUCGUUGGUUUCUAGGAUCACCGUAAUGAUUAAUAGGGAUAGUUGGGGGCAUUAGUAUUCAAUUGUCAGAGGUGAAAUUCUUGGAUUUAUUGAAGACUAACUACUGCGAAAGCAUUUGCCAAGGAUGUUUUCAUUAAUCAAGAACGAAAGUUAGGGGAUCGAAGACGAUCAGAUACCGUCGUAGUUUAACCAUAAACUAUGCCGACUAGGGAUCGGACGAAGUUAAUUUUAUAAUGACGCGUUCGGCACCUUACG
rnacentral:rRNA from 1 species